CCUACGGGAGGCAGCAGUGAGGAAUAUUGGUCAAUGGACGAGAGUCUGAACCAUCCAAGUAGCGUGAAGGAUGACUGCCCUAUGGGUUGUAAACUUCUUUUAUAUGGGAAUAAAAUGUUCCACGUGUGGGAGUUUGUAUGUACCAUAUGAAUAAGGAUCGGCUAACUCCGUGCCAGCAGCCGCGGUAAUACGGAGGAUCCGAGCGUUAUCCGGAUUUAUUGGGUUUAAAGGGAGCGUAGGUGGAUUGUUAAGUCAGUUGUGAAAGUUCGCGGCUCAACCGUAAAAUUGCAGUUGAAACUGGCAGUCUUGAGUACAGUAGAGGUGGGCGGAAUUCGUGGUGUAGCGGUGAAAUGCUUAGAUAUCACGAAGAACUCCGAUUGCGAAGGCAGCUCACUGGACUGCAACUGACACUGAGGCUCGAAAGUGUGGGUAUCAAACAGGAUUAGAUACCCCAGUAGUC
rnacentral:rRNA from 1 species